rnacentral:lncRNA from 1 species
AAAAAAUUGGUGCUUUCUUUGAGAGACCAAUGGCGUAACCUGAUGCUAUCAUGACAAGUUUUGACAUAUUUGCAAAGGAAUUCUGUGCUUCUAUGGCAACUUGGACAAAUCAGCAUUUUCAACCCAAAUCUGAUACACGGCAGGAUCGAUUACAGAUCCAACUAGCUGAUGAACAAUGGAGGAGGACUAAAAUUGAUUGUCGUAGCUAUGCUGGACUGCUGGUGGUGACCCAACAGUGCUGCAAACCCAUAUUCAAUUUAGUCACAUCACAUCGGCACACAAUUCUCUAAGCUCGUACAAAUCACAUCGGUUGCUGAUUAUGAGUUACAAUUUCAAUUAUUAGCUACCAGGAUCUAUGGAUUAAGCGAAAAGUUUCUGAUGGGUCACUUCAUUAAUGGUCUAAAUGAUGAAAUCCAAUGUAAAGUUCUUGCUUCCCAACCUAUAUUUACAUUGCAAUUAGUUUAGCUAAACUUAGUGAGAGAAAGCUGUUAGAUGCAGAAAUAUCGCAGCUAAGUCCCGAACAUGCUACACUGUUGAAAACUCUGGAUAAUGCCUAUUGUGUGUUUGAUGAAAUGCCAAGAAUGUUCUAAUUUCUGGGAAUAGUGAGGAUGAGGACUAUUUAUGUUUUGUGACAAAUCAAGACCAGCUAAUGUACAAUAAUAACGGAAGUGAAACUAAGGAAAAGCAAAUUGUGUCUUCGAGUAGGAAAUAAGGUUGAUAAUGAUCAACAUAAUUAUGAGCUUUUACUGGGUGUUCAAAUGAUUCAAAACACAGUUGUAGGCAAAACAUCUAUCACAAAAUAUGUCUUAAAAGAAAUAAAUUGGAAAAC